rnacentral:lncRNA from 1 species
GGCUUGGAGGAACUAGAGGGUUGAGAUUGGAGAAGGUUCAGCAUAUUCUAAAGCAUUCCAUCGCUUUUACCUUUUCUUUUUCUAGAUCAGUUCUAAGGCCGUCUCUUUCAAUUUCCAAUUCAGCCAACAUGCCUUGAGCCUAGCAAUUUCAUCAUCUUUAGUUCCACAUUCCUAUACCAAAGCCCUACCUUGUUGUUAAUGGGUGUCCUCGGAGAUGAACCUGUUUCAACUGGGAUGGCAUUGACAGGAUAGUCACAAGCCAGUAGAGUCUUAACACCAAAAUGUUUCUUGGUUGAUGUCAUUUCCUAUUUCUU